GAUGAACGCUGGCGGCGUGCCUAAUACAUGCAAGUCGAGCGAACAGAUGAGGAGCUUGCUCCUCUGACGUUAGCGGCGGACGGGUGAGUAACACGUGGAUAACCUACCUAUAAGACUGGGAUAACUUCGGGAAACCGGAGCUAAUACCGGAUAAUAUAUUGAACCGCAUGGUUGAAUAGUGAAAGACGGUUUUGCUGUCACUUAUAGAUGGAUCCGCGCCGCAUUAGCUAGUUGGUAAGGUAACGGCUUACCAAGGCAACGAUGCGUAGCCGACCUGAGAGGGUGAUCGGCCACACUGGAACUGAGACACGGUCCAGACUCCUACGGGAGGCAGCAGUAGGGAAUCUUCCGCAAUGGGCGAAAGCCUGACGGAGCAACGCCGCGUGAGUGAUGAAGGUCUUCGGACCGUAAAACUCUGUUAUUAGGGAAGAACAAAUGUGUAAGUAACUAUGCACGUCUUGACGGUACCUAAUCAGAAAGCCACGGCUAACUACGUG
rnacentral:rRNA from 1 species